CAUUGGUCGCAAACGCCCAAUUCACAAACAAAGCACACUCACUACUCUUCUUCGAGUCCUGUCCUGCAAAUCUUUCUAUCUCUAACGUUCCUUUCUCUCUCUACUUCUUUCUAGUUUAUUCGCUCUUUCUGUAGCUUGCUGUGCGGAUCUGCUUGUUUAUCCUGAGAGAUCUCGGCUUGAGAUUUCUCAACUGAUAUUUCUGCAAUUUCCACACCAAGAGAAACAAGACAUUAAUUUCAUAGCCUCUCCUGCGGAAGCAUAAGCUUGUGCUACUGUCUCUUCUAAAUUUCUGUAUUAUAAAGAUGACAGUCAGAACUCCAGGAACUCCGGCUUCUAAGAUUGAUAGGACACCAGCGUCAACUCCUGGAGGUCCCAAAACAAAGGAAGAGAAGAUUGUAGUUACCGUACGAUUAAGACCUCUAAGCAAAAAAGAGCAGUUAGCCAAAGACCAAGUAGCAUGGGAGUGUGUUGAUGAUCGCACCAUUGUAUUUAAGCCACCAACUCAGGAACGUACAGCUCAACAGGCCCCAUUCACAUUUGAUAAAGUUUUUGGUCCCACUUGUUUAACUGAAACUGUAUAUGAGGAUGGAGUAAAGAAUGUUGCUUUGUCUGCUUUGAUGGGCAUAAAUGCAACCAUAUUUGCAUAUGGGCAGACUAGCAGUGGGAAGACAUAUACGAUGAGAGGAAUAACUGAGAAAGCUGUUAAUGACAUCUAUAAGCAUAUAAUGAAUACCCCGGAGAGGGAUUUUACUAUUAAGAUUUCUGGACUAGAAAUUUAUAAUGAAAAUGUCAGGGACCUGCUGAAUUCAGAAUCUGGUAGAAAUCUCAAGCUUCUUGAUGACCCAGAGAAAGGCACUGUGGUUGAGAAGUUGGUAGAAGAAACAGCAAGUAAUGACCAGCAUUUAAGGCAUCUGAUUAGUAUUUGUGAAGCCCAAAGGCAAGUUGGUGAGACUGCCCUUAAUGAUACUAGCUCGCGGUCACACCAAAUUAUAAGGCUGACAAUAGAAAGUACCCUCCGUGAAAAUUCAGAUUGUGUGAGAUCAUUCGUUGCAGGCCUGAACUUUGUAGACCUAGCUGGAAGUGAAAGAGCCUCACAGACACAUGCAGAUGGUGCCAGGCUCAGGGAAGGAUGCCAUAUUAAUCUUAGUUUGAUGACACUGACAACUGUGAUAAGAAAGCUCAGUGUGGGGAAAAGAAGCGGUCAUAUACCUUACCGAGACUCAAAGCUUACUCGCAUCUUGCAGCAUUCCCUUGGUGGGAAUGCACGUACUGCCAUCAUAUGUACUUUAAGUCCAGCACUUAGCCAUGUUGAACAAUCUCGAAACACUCUCUUCUUUGCCACACGAGCAAAAGAAGUUACUAACAAUGCCCAUGUCAACAUGGUUGUUUCUGAUAAGCAGCUGGUGAAGCAUCUACAGAAGGAAGUGGCCAGGCUGGAAGCAGAGCUGCGCACUCCUGACCCUACCAAGGAGAAAGACUUGAAAAUUCAGCAGAUGGAGAUGGAAAUGGAAGAAUUAAGACGCCAGAGGGAUCUUGCACAAUCUCAAGUAGAUGAGUUACGGAAAAAAAUUCAAGUGGACCAACAGCCUGGCGCAUUGGAAUCUCCACGUCCAUCAGUGAAGAAGUGUCUCUCUUACUCGGAUGCAUUGUUGCCAAAACAGGACAGCAAGGAUUUAAGCCGCUUUGAUAGAACAAGAAAAACUAUGUUAAGGCAGUCUAUGAGGCAAUCAUCAACUGCACCUUUCACUCUAGUGCACGAAAUACGCAAACUAGAACAUCUUCAAGAACAACUUGGAGAAGAAGCUAAUCGAGCUCUUGAAGUCCUACAAAAGGAGGUUGCUUGUCAUAGACUAGGUAACCAAGAUGCAGCUGAGACGAUUGCUAAACUGCAAGCAGAAAUAAGAGAAAUGCGAUCCAUUCAACCAGCUCCUAAGGAAGUGGAAAUCGGCAGUGUUGUAGCUCCUAACAAAAGUGUCAGUGCCAACCUCAAGGAAGAGAUAACCAGACUUCAUUCACAGGGCAGCACUAUAGCAGAUCUUGAAGAGCAGUUGGAAAAUGUUCAGAAGUCUAUAGACAAAUUAGUAAUGUCUCUUCCAAGCAAUAAUCCACAAUCAAACUGUGAAGCAGCUUCCAAAGCUAAGAAUCAACCAAAGAAGAAAAAGAUACUUCCUUUGGCAUCAAGUAAUGGUGCCAACAGGCAAAACUUUUUAAGGUCUCCUUGCUCACCACUAUCAACUUCUCGGCAAAUUUUGGAAAAUGACAUAGAAAAUAAAGCUCCAGGGAAUGAAGACAUUAUAUCCUCGGAGACCCAGCCAGAGUCUGAGAAAGAGACCCCUACGAAGAGUGAAGAAGGUGGAGAAGUGUCAUCGAAGGAAGGCGCUCCAGGCUAUAGACGUUCUAGUUCAGUUAAUAUGAAGAAAAUGCAGAAGAUGUUUCAGAAUGCAGCAGAGGAGAAUGUAAGAAGCAUAAGAGCAUAUGUGACAGAACUGAAGGAACGUGUUGCCAAACUGCAAUACCAAAAGCAGUUGCUUGUUUGCCAGGUCCUUGAGCUGGAAGCAAAUGAAGCAGCUGGAUAUAAUCUUGAGGAUGAAGAGAACAUAAAUGAACCAGAACCUCAAGUUUCCUGGCAAGUAACUUUUAGGGAGCAAAGGCAGCAGAUCAUUGAAUUAUGGGAUGUGUGCUAUGUAUCCAUCAUCCAUAGGACACAGUUUUAUUUGUUAUUCAAGGGGGAUCCUGCUGAUCAAAUAUACAUGGAAGUUGAGCUUAGGCGCUUGACUUGGCUUCAGCAGCAUUUGGCAGAAAUUGGCAAUGCAAGCCCAGCUCGUGUUGGAGAUGAGCCUACAAUUUCUCUGUCAUCAAGUAUUAGAGCAUUGAAACGUGAAAGGGAAUUCCUGGCGAAGAGGUUGACCUCGCGUUUAACUGUUGAGGAAAGAGAUACAUUGUACAUGAAAUGGGAUGUUCCACUUGAGGGGAAGCAGAGGAAGUUGCAGUUUGUGAACAAACUGUGGACGAAUCCCCAUGAUGCAAGGCAUGUACAGGAAAGUGCUGAGAUAGUGGCAAAGCUUGUUGGUUUCUGCGAAGGAGGAAACAUGUCAAAGGAGAUGUUUGAGCUCAAUUUCGCCUUACCAACAGAUAAAAGACCAUGGAUUGUGGGCUGGAACCCAAUUUCAAACCUUCUACAUUUAUGAGAAAUCCAUUUUUCUUUUGUAAGUAUUUCCUAUUUCUGUACAUGAAAAUGAAUUUUGGAGUUUUUCUCCAUCAUUCUAGAUUAUUUUUGGUUAAAUUAUGGUGUGACUUAUUGUGCACACUCUGCAUGAAAAUGAUUUGGAUAUUUAUCUUCACAUUUCAAUAACAGAAGAAUUUAUUCAUUUUGUUUCUAUGUGAUGUACUACUUUUCACUUUUGAUUAUUGAUGUCGUAA
rnacentral:misc_RNA from 1 species